rnacentral:rRNA from 1 species
GUUGUAUGGUUAAGUGACUAAGCGUACACGGUGGAUGCCUUGGCAGUCAGAGGCGAUGAAAGACGUAGUAACUUGCGAUAAGCCCAGAUUAGGUAGUAACAACCAUUUGAGUCUGGGAUUUCUGAAUGGGGAAACCCACGUGCAUAAGCACGUAUCCUUACCUGAAUACAUAGGGUAAGGAGGCGAACCGGGGGAACUGAAACAUCUAAGUACCCCGAGGAAAAGAAAUCAACCGAGAUUCCGAAAGUAGCGGCGAGCGAAAUUGGACUAGCCCUUAAGCUUUACACGCGUUAGACGAACGGUCUGGAAAGUCCGACGAUACAGGGUGAUAGUCCCGUAGUUGACGACGUGUGUUCAGUGAAAUCGAGUAGGGCGGGACACGUGAUAUCCUGUCUGAAUAUGGGGGGACCAUCCUCCAAGGCUAAAUACUACUGACUGACCGAUAGUGAACCAGUACCGUGAGGGAAAGGCGAAAAGAACCCCUGUGAGGGGAGUGAAAUAGAACCUGAAACCGUGUACGUACAAGCAGUAGGAGCAGGCUUUGUCCUGUGACUGCGUACCUUUUGUAUAAUGGGUCAGCGACUUAUAUUCAGUGGCAAGGUUAACCAUCUAGGGGAGCCGUAGGGAAACCGAGUCUUAACUGGGCGUUCAGUCUCUGGAUAUAGACCCGAAACCAGGUGAUCUAGCCAUGGGCAGGUUGAAGGUUGAGUAACAUCAACUGGAGGACCGAACCGACUAAUGUUGAAAAAUUAGCGGAUGACUUGUGGCUAGGGGUGAAAGGCCAAUCAAACCUGGAGAUAGCUGGUUCUCCCCGAAAGCUAUUUAGGUAGCGCCUCGGACGAAUACUACUGGGGGUAGAGCACUGUUAAGGCUAGGGGGUCAUCCCGACUUACCAACCCUUUGCAAACUCCGAAUACCAGUAAGUACUAUCCGGGAGACACACGGCGGGUGCUAACGUCCGUCGUGGAGAGGGAAACAACCCAGACCGCCAGCUAAGGUCCCAAAUUACUACUAAGUGGGAAACGAUGUGGGAAGGCUCAGACAGCCAGGAUGUUGGCUUAGAAGCAGCCAUCAUUUAAAGAAAGCGUAAUAGCUCACUGGUCGAGUCGGCCUGCGCGGAAGAUGUAACGGGGCUAAGUAGUAAACCGAAGCUGCGGCAAUAUACUUUUGUAUAUUGGGUAGGGGAGCGUUCUGUAAGCGGUUGAAGGUGUGUGGUAACGCAUGCUGGACGUAUCAGAAGUGCGAAUGCUGACAUGAGUAACGAUAAAGGGGGUGAAAAACCUCCUCGCCGGAAGACCAAGGGUUCCUGUCCAACGUUAAUCGGGGCAGGGUAAGUCGACCCCUAAGGCGAGGCCGAAAGGCGUAGUCGAUGGGAAACGGGUUAAUAUUCCCGUACUUCUUACAAUUGCGAUGGGGGGACGGAGAAGGCUAGGUGGGCCUGGCGACGGUUGUCCAGGUUCAAGUGCGUAGGCUUAAGAGUUAGGUAAAUCCGGCUCUUUYUAAGGCUGAGACACGACGUCGAGCACCUACGGGUGUGAAGUCAUUGAUGCCAUGCUUCCAGGAAAAGCCUCUAAGCUUCAGAUUGUAAGGAAUCGUACCCCAAACCGACACAGGUGGUCGGGUAGAGAAUACCAAGGCGCUUGAGAGAACUCGGGUGAAGGAACUAGGCAAAAUGGUACCGUAACUUCGGGAGAAGGUACGCUCUYGAYGGUGAAGUCCCUUGCGGAUGGAGCURWYGAGAGUCGCAGAUACCAGGUGGCUGCAACUGUUUAUUAAAAACACAGCACUGUGCAAAAUCGUAAGAUGACGUAUACGGUGUGACGCCUGCCCGGUGCCGGAAGGUUAAUUGAUGGGGUUAGACUUCGGUCGAAGCUCUUGAUCGAAGCCCCGGUAAACGGCGGCCGUAACUAUAACGGUCCUAAGGUAGCGAAAUUCCUUGUCGGGUAAGUUCCGACCUGCACGAAUGGCGUAAUGAUGGCCACGCUGUCUCCACCCGAGACUCAGUGAAAUUGAAAUCGCUGUGAAGAUGCAGUGUACCCGCGGCUAGACGGAAAGACCCCGUGAACCUUUACUACAGCUUGGCACUGAACAUUGACCCUACAUGUGUAGGAUAGGUGGGAGGCUUUGAAGCACGUACGCCAGUAUGUGUGGAGCCGUCCUUGAAAUACCACCCUUGUAGUGUUGAUGUUCUAACGUCGACCCCUUAUCGGGGUUGCGGACAGUGCCUGGUGGGUAGUUUGACUGGGGCGGUCUCCUCCCAAAGAGUAACGGAGGAGCACGAAGGUGGGCUAAUCACGGUUGGACAUCGUGAGGUUAGUGCAAUGGCAUAAGCCCGCUUGACUGCGAGAAUGACAAUUCGAGCAGGUGCGAAAGCAGGUCAUAGUGAUCCGGUGGUUCUGAAUGGAAGGGCCAUCGCUCAACGGAUAAAAGGUACUCCGGGGAUAACAGGCUGAUACCGCCCAAGAGUUCAUAUCGACGGCGGUGUUUGGCACCUCGAUGUCGGCUCAUCACAUCCUGGGGCUGAAGUCGGUCCCAAGGGUAUGGCUGUUCGCCAUUUAAAGUGGUACGCGAGCUGGGUUUAGAACGUCGUGAGACAGUUCGGUCCCUAUCUGCCGUGGGCGUUGGAAGAUUGAAGGGGGCUGCUCCUAGUACGAGAGGACCGGAGUGGACGAACCUCUGGUGUUCGGGUUGUGUCGCCAGACGCAUUGCCCGGUAGCUAAGUUCGGAAUCGAUAACCGCUGAAAGCAUCUAAGCGGGAAGCGAGCCCUGAGAUGAGUCUUCCCUGAUACUUUAAGUAUCCUAAAGGGUUGUCGGAGACUACGACGUUGAUAGGUCAGGUGUGUAAGUGCUGUGAGGCAUUGAGCUAACUGAUACUAAUUGCCCGUGAGGCUUAACCAUACAACACCCAAGGGGUUU